rnacentral:misc_RNA from 1 species
GGAAGGAUCAUUAACACUUUCAAACAAAUUUAACUAAUAUCUCCCAGUGAACUUGUCUUUAGGCUAUAUACUAUUCCCGGUUGGAGGUAUAAAAACCCAUUUCAUAAUGGUUCCUCCAAUGGGAUUUUCAUGUCUCGAAUUUACAAUACCAAUACCAUGUGAAAUAAAAAUAAAAAUACAUUUCAAUAUAUUCUGGAAUACAUUUGUUGCGUGGAAACACGCUCAAAUAUAUAUUAAUAACAAACUUUACAACUCUUAGCAACGGAUAUCUCGGUUCUCGUAACGAUGAAGAACGCAGCAAACUGCGAUAAGUAAUGCGAAUCGCAGAGCUCAGUGAAUCAUCGAAUCUUUGAACGCAUACUGCACUCCGGGGCUUUUGCCGACCGGAGUAUGCUUCUUUGAGUAUCGCUUCCACCAAUAAGACAUUUGAGCCUCUCUCAAAUGAUUCGACUUAUGAGUCUUUGUAUAUUUUUUUUAUACAUGACUUGAAAUAUAAUAUGCGUUUUUUUACCGUUUCGUAUAAAAACCAAAAUCAAUUUUAUUAAUUGAUGUAUGGUAAGCACUCGAAUAUAGAGUCUGUACAUUGAUUUUAUUGGUCUUGGGUCGAAUGUUAGAGUAAAGGGACAAUGCGUAUUUUUUCUCAAGGAAAUUAUUAUUUCUUCUAAUUUGAUCUCAAAUGAAGCAAGACUACCCGCUGAAUUUAAGCAUAUUAUUAAGCGGAGGAAAAGAAACUAACAAGGAUUCCCCUAGUAACUGCGAGUGAAGCGGGAAAAGCUCAACCCGGAAAUCAGGUUGCCUAGCGGUGACUCUGAAUUGUGGGCUAGAGGCAUACGAUCAGUCCGUGGGUCAGGUAUAAAUUCUUUGGAACAAGAUAUCAUAGAGGGUGACAAUCCCGUCUGUGACCUGAAGCACGCGGCGUCAAUGACGUGUGUCCUGAGAGUAGGGUAGCUUGGGAGUGUUGCCCGAAGUGGGUGGUAAAUUCCAUCCAAAGCUAAAUAUCGACGAGAGACCGAUAGCGAACAAGUACCGUGAGGGAAAGAUGAAAAGAACUUUGAAAAGAGAGUCAAAAGUCCUUGAAAUUGCUAAGAGGAAAGCACUGGCAACCAGUAGUUAUAGCCAAAAGCUAUAUGCCCAGUUUUGCUCGGGUCUAUCGCUGCGUCUGGUGACUCUUGUCUAGGGAGCACCAUGAUUGUUGUGUAUUAUAUGGCUCAAGUAAUCUGGACACAGUAGUUUGCGGCCUAGUCAAGAUCAAUUAGCUUAUUUGAACUCCUGUUACAGGGAGGACGCAAGAGAAACCCGCUGAGGAGGUAUCUCAUUCAUUAUGCCUUCGGGUGUAGUGUUUGUUUGUUAUAUCUUGGCGGAAUCAAUAAUCUUGUGGGGCUGAUUGAGGUCAUUCGACGAAUGAUAGUCUCUGCACCACUUUUGCAAGAGAGUGGUAUGGUUCGCUCGGUCCCUGUUCUAUUAUUCGGUUCGGAAGUCAAAGACUUGCGGCCGGAGAAGUGGGAUACUGGAUUGGGAUAGAACACAUGUGGGGUAACAAUGAUCUUGACGAAAUGGUUCUCAGUGACCCGUCUUGAAACACGGACCAAGGAGUCUAACAUAUAUGCGAGUAUUGGGAUGCUUCAAAUCCACAGUGCGUAAUGAAAGUGAAGGUAUGAACUUUUUCGAAAGUUCGUGCUGAGAUAGGAACCGGGUGUCUGCUGAUAUCCUGGUGCACUAUCGCCCGAAUCUAUCAUUUAUGAAAGGUUUGAGGAAGAGCAUAUCUGUUAGGACCCGAAAGAUGGUGAACUAUGUCUGACCAGGGUGAAGCCAGGGGAAACUCUGGUGGAGGCUCGUAGCGAUACUGACGUGCAAAUCGUUCGUCUGAGUUGGAUAUAGGGGCGAAAGACUCAUCGAACCAUCUAGUAGCUGGUUCCCUC